rnacentral:rRNA from 1 species
CACCUAACAGCUAGCCUCAAAAUUAAAAUUUUACUAUUAUGGAAAUAAAAACUCAUAAUAAACUUAAACAAAUCAUUUUAUCCCCUCAGUACGG